AUUGAACGCUGGCGGCAUGCCUUACACAUGCAAGUCGAACGGUAACGGGCCUUCGGGUGCCGACGAGUGGCGAACGGGUGAGUAAUACAUCGGAACGUGCCCGACCGUGGGGGAUAACGAGGCGAAAGCUUUGCUAAUACCGCAUACGAUCUACGGAUGAAAGCAGGGGACCGCAAGGCCUUGCGCGGACGGAGCGGCCGAUGGCAGAUUAGGUAGUUGGUGGGAUAAAAGCUUACCAAGCCGACGAUCUGUAGCUGGUCUGAGAGGAUGAUCAGCCACACUGGGACUGAGACACGGCCCAGACUCCUACGGGAGGCAGCAGUGGGGAAUUUUGGACAAUGGGCGCAAGCCUGAUCCAGCCAUGCCGCGUGCAGGAUGAAGGCCUUCGGGUUGUAAACUGCUUUUGUACGGAACGAAAAGCCUUCUUUUAAGACAGGGGGGUCAUGACGGUACCGUAAGAAUAAGCACCGGCUAACUACGUG
rnacentral:rRNA from 1 species